rnacentral:rRNA from 1 species
UCUUGACGAACGCUGGCGGCGUGCUUAACACAUGCAAGUCGAACGGAAAGGCCCUGCUUUUGUGGGGUGCUCGAGUGGCGAACGGGUGAGUAACACGUGAGUAACCUGCCCUUGACUUUGGGAUAACUUCAGGAAACUGGGGCUAAUACCGGAUAGGAGCUCCUGCUGCAUGGUGGGGGUUGGAAAGUUUCGGCGGUUGGGGAUGGACUCGCGGCUUAUCAGCUUGUUGGUGGGGUAGUGGCUUACCAAGGCUUUGACGGGUAGCCGGCCUGAGAGGGUGACCGGCCACAUUGGGACUGAGAUACGGCCCAGACUCCUACGGGAGGCAGCAGUGGGGAAUAUUGCACAAUGGGCGGAAGCCUGAUGCAGCAACGCCGCGUGCGGGAUGACGGCCUUCGGGUUGUAAACCGCUUUCGCCUGUGACGAAGCGUGAGUGACGGUAAUGGGUAAAGAAGCACCGGCUAACUACGUGCCAGCAGCCGCGGUGAUACGUAGGGUGCGAGCGUUGUCCGGAUUUAUUGGGCGUAAAGGGCUCGUAGGUGGUUGAUCGCGUCGGAAGUGUAAUCUUGGGGCUUAACCCUGAGCGUGCUUUCGAUACGGGUUGACUUGAGGAAGGUAGGGGAGAAUGGAAUUCCUGGUGGAGCGGUGGAAUGCGCAGAUAUCAGGAGGAACACCAGUGGCGAAGGCGGUUCUCUGGGCCUUUCCUGACGCUGAGGAGCGAAAGCGUGGGGAGCGAACAGGCUUAGAUACCCUGGUAGUCCACGCUGUAAACGGUGGGUACUAGGUGUGGGGUCCAUUCCACGGGUUCCGUGCCGUAGCUAACGCUUUAAGUACCCCGCCUGGGGAGUACGGCCGCAAGGCUAAAACUCAAAGGAAUUGACGGGGCCCCGCACAAGCGGCGGAGCAUGCGGAUUAAUUCGAUGCAACGCGUAGAACCUUACCUGGGUUUGACAUGGAUCGGGAGUGCUCAGAGAUGGGUGUGCCUCUUUUGGGGUCGGUUCACAGGUGGUGCAUGGCUGUCGUCAGCUCGUGUCGUGAGAUGUUGGGUUAAGUCCCGCAACGAGCGCAACCCUUGUUCACUGUUGCCAGCACGUUAUGGUGGGGACUCAGUGGAGACCGCCGGGGUCAACUCGGAGGAAGGUGGGGAUGACGUCAAGUCAUCAUGCCCCUUAUGUCCAGGGCUUCACGCAUGCUACAAUGGCUGGUACAGAGAGUGGCGAGCCUGUGAGGGUGAGCGAAUCUCGGAAAGCCGGUCUCAGUUCGGAUUGGGGUCUGCAACUCGACCUCAUGAAGUCGGAGUCGCUAGUAAUCGCAGAUCAGCAACGCUGCGGUGAAUACGUUCCCGGGGCUUGUACACACCGCCCGUCAAGUCAUGAAAGUUGGUAACACCCGAAGCCGGUGGCCUAACCGUUGUGGGGGAGCCGUCGAAGGUGGGACUGG